rnacentral:misc_RNA from 1 species
GAGUAAAACUAUUCGAAUAGCCGUGCCCGCGGUUAUGGGCGGGUCUAACAAUGUCUUUCGUGACUAGUCUCACACCUCUUAUAAUAGAUGAUGCUAUAACUGGUAAUAAUUUGAUUAGCUCCUGGUUUGGAAUGGUAUAUUCCUGGUUUGGAGAUAGAACUGUGCAGCCGGGAUGGUUGUUCAGAAUGGUUGGGCCUAUGC